rnacentral:rRNA from 1 species
CAGCAGCCGCGGUAAUACGUAGGGUGCGAGCGUUAAUCGGAAUUACUGGGCGUAAAGCGUGCGCAGGCGGUUCGUUAAGACAGAUGUGAAAUCCCCGGGCUUAACCUGGGAACUGCAUUUGUGACUGACGGGCUAGAGUAUGGCAGAGGGGGGUAGAAUUCCACGUGUAGCAGUGAAAUGCGUAGAGAUGUGGAGGAACACCUGUGGCGAAAGCGGCUCACUGGACAAUAACUGACGCCGAUGCACGAAAGCUAGGGGAGCAAACAGGAUUAGAUACCCCAGUAGUCCCUGUCUCUUAUAC